rnacentral:rRNA from 1 species
ACGAGCGGCGGACGGGUGAGUAAUGUCUGGGAAACUGCCUGAUGGAGGGGGAUAACUACUGGAAACGGUAGCUAAUACCGCAUAACGUCGCAAGACCAAAGAGGGGGACCUUCGGGCCUCUUGCCAUCAGAUGUGCCCAGAUGGGAUUAGCUAGUAGGUGGGGUAAUGGCUCACCUAGGCGACGAUCCCUAGCUGGUCUGAGAGGAUGACCAGCCACACUGGAACUGAGACACGGUCCAGACUCCUACGGGAGGCAGCAGUGGGGAAUAUUGCACAAUGGGCGCAAGCCUGAUGCAGCCAUGCCGCGUGUGUGAAGAAGGCCUUCGGGUUGUAAAGCACUUU